GACGAACGCUGGCGGCGUGCCUAAUACAUGCAAGUCGAGCGAAGUUUUUCUGGUGCUUGCACCGGAAAAACUUAGCGGCGAACGGGUGAGUAACACGUAAAGAACCUGCCUCAUAGACUGGGACAACUAUUGGAAACGAUAGCUAAUACCGGAUAACAGCAUUAACUGCAUGGUUGAUGUUUAAAAGUUGGUUUUGCUAACACUAUGAGAUGGCUUUGCGGUGCAUUAGCUAGUUGGUGGGGUAAAGGCCUACCAAGGCGACGAUGCAUAGCCGACCUGAGAGGGUGAUCGGCCACACUGGGACUGAGACACGGCCCAGACUCCUACGGGAGGCAGCAGUAGGGAAUCUUCCGCAAUGGGCGAAAGCCUGACGGAGCAACGCCGCGUGAGUGAAGAAGGAUUUCGGUUCGUAAAGCUCCGUUGUUAGGGAAGAAUGAUUGUGUAGUAACUAUACACAGCACG
rnacentral:rRNA from 1 species